AUGAAUGACACCGUAACUAUCCACACUAGAAAGUUCAUGACCAACCGACUACUUCAGAGGAAACUUCACCCCAGGAAGGCAACAGUGCCUAAGACAGAAAUUCGGGAAAAACUAGCCAAAAUGUACAAGACCACACUAGAUGUCAUCUUUGUAUUUGGAUUCAGAACUCAUUUUGGUGGUGGCAAGACAACUGGCUUUGGCAUGAUUUAUGACUCCCUGGAUUAUGCAAAAGAAAAUGAACCCAAACAUAGACUUACAAGACAUGGCCUGUAUGAGAAGAAAAAGACCUCAAGAAAGCAACAAAAGGAACGCAAGAACAGAAUGAAGAAAGUCAGGGGGACUGCAAAGGCCAAUGUUGGUGCUGGCAAAAAGUGAGCUGGAGAUUGAAUCACAGCCGAAGGAGUAAAGGUGCUGCAGUAAAGGCUACCUGUGUCCAUUUUGGAUUUUUCACGAGCAGAUUAAUAAACUAAAAACU